rnacentral:tRNA from 1 species
AAGAAAUUAGUUAAUAAUAUAUAAUAUAGGAUCGUCACACCUAAGUUAUUCAAUAUAUGAAUAUUUCUUA